UCAGACGAGCGCGGUGGUCCCACCUGACCCCAUGCCGAACUCAGAAGUGAAACGCCGUAGCGCCGAUGGUAGUGUGGGGUCUCCCAUGUGAGUAGUGAGAGUUUGCC
rnacentral:rRNA from 1 species